GCGCAGAAGGCUGGGCAGGAUGUGGGCGGUGGGCAGGCCCGGAGACUGCUGCUCUUGGCCUGACUCUGGCAUUGGCUUGGCGUUCGGCUGCGGGGGAGCCGUGUGUGGGCUUGUCCCUGGGCAGCUGGCCUGCCUCCCCAGAGACAGGAGCCACAGGGGGCAGGAGAAUGGGACCUAGAAGCUAACUUGAUGAGCCUGUGGAAGGCAGAGGAGCCCAAACGGAAGCAGAGCUCGGAGAUGGACAUGGAUUCCACAAGCGAAGUUCGGCUGUGCCUGAAGCCGCUCCGCCCUGGGCUUUUCCAAGACGAGUAUUGUUAAGUUCCUUUUCUGCUCAAACCAGCGUGAAUUGAGUUUCUUCUCUGAUUCGCAGUCCCACAUCUGAGCCAGGCAGACCAUGCAGAGAAGAUGCCACGAAUGCACGAUAGUUGCAGGGAGUGUGACUGCAUCAUUUACUGAACAAGAAGAGACACUCUCCGAGACAGUGGAAGCAAACCAGGACUGUCCCAAGCAAACUGGGGCGCGUGACUACCCGCAGGGGCCCUUCUAUGGCCCCACUUCCCGAGCCGCCGGGCUCAUCGGGCCGCACCGGCCUCCCAUGGGAACUGCGCUCUGUCUGUCUUUCUACCUGGACAAAUCCUUUGAGCGCCUGGAUCUUCCUCGCAACUCUUGUUUCCACCGAACACUGCCUCCCCGGGGCUUUCCCUGACCCCCACCCCACCAGGCCCCAGCUUUCCUCUUCCUCCUCCCUUGCAGAGCCCCCAGCUCGGAGGCAGGUGGGGAGUGAGCCCACAAGGUGUGGGAGCACGAUUCUCAAGCAUCUGUCACCUUUCAGUAAAUACUUGUGUUCCCAGCUCUCACCUCCCAAGUGAACAUCAAGCUCCAGGGGGAGGUGGGGAGGUGAGAGGCGGAGGAGAGGGAGGAAAUGGAGUGAGUGGCAGGCAAGCGAGUCGGGGUUUUUCUGGCCCUGAGUGACAGACACACAGCACUGGCCCACAGAGUCCACCCGGAAACCAGAUGCACUCUGACCCCAGUCGCUCGGAUGCUUCUUUUAGAAGUAUUGGGAACCUGAAAGGGCCUGGAUUGGGAAGCAGCUCCCCCAGGCACCCCUGGCAGACACAGGCACAGAUUGUGCGGGUAGACAGAAGACACCAGAUAUGUUUACAAGUUUCCUAAUUGCCUCUGUCCUCUCUGAUACUGGGGCUCUAUAAAAUUGUCACAGCCGUGGCUGUCAUUUGGCCCUGGCUCGCUGCGCAUGCAUGCGGGUGUUUGUUUACAGAACGCAGCCGGCAGCAGGCCUUCAUGUGGGCUCUGACCCACCCCUCUGGCAGCUGGGAGGGGCUGGGCCCCCUCCAGGAUUCCCAGACAGAUUUGCUUCUUCAGAUUCUUUAAAGCAAAAAAACCCUGAGUAUUGGUGAUCACUCAGAAUCUUGGCAGAAAACUGAAUUCGGCCCUGCUGUUUCUAGUGAAGGCACUUCAGCAAAGGGACUAUCCAUGGGGUGUGACCAGGGCUGAGAGAAUCGAGGAGGGUGCCGAGGCCCUGACAGCAGCGGUCACCACCACUGCGGGCUCCAGGGGCGAGGUGGGCAUCAGUGUUGCACCCACGAGGACUGGGUGCGUGGAGGGCAGAGGACAAGCUUCCUGCCAGCGGCUGUGGUCUCAGAGACACGCAUAUGGGGCGCUGAGCAGGCAGAGAGCAGAGACGAAACUCUCCAACCCUUGUCUUCCUCACCUCACUGAUCUCCUGCUGGUGCCUGCCAUUAGCCAAACCAACAGGAAGCUGGGAGUGUGGGGGACCCUCAGUGCGCCCCACAUGGCCCAGCUCUCAGGGCAGGGCGUCCGAGUGGACUGGACCUCAGUGCAAACAAAGAAUAACCAGUGUGACUGGGUACAGCAUUCUGGGCUGAUUUGACGGCCAAGUUUGGUGGAAACUCUUCUUCUCCUAUCCCCUAAAUCUCUCUUGAACCCACCCACCUCUGUGCCACACAGGUGUUGCCCACCGUGACGUGCCCUCCACUCUCCAGUGCUCUCCAUGGCUCCUUGUGCUUCUGGCACAUUGACCAAAGUCUGAACUUGUGCAAGUGUGACAGUGUGACCCAGCUGACCCCUGGCCUCACCUCUCACCCUCACCCUUGCCCCCUGCUCGGCUCCACUCCUUGUGGUUACACUGGACAGUUUUCAGGAUCCAGAAUGUCGUGUUCCUUCCUGCUGCUGAAUUUUGUAUAUGCUGUUCCCUCUGCCUGGUUCUUUUGGCCUGACCCCCAGCUAUUUAUAAAUAAAUCUCUCCAAUUCUUCAUAUUUCAGCUUAAAAAUCACAUUCUUAAGAACAACUUCCCUGAGCCCACAAAGUGGGCAAAGGCUCCCUUCUCAUCCCCCCAGUUUCUUUACUUCACCAUGUGUGUCACGGCUGUAAUUAACGAAUCGACGGGCAAGGCUCUGCUCAUUGUCUGUCUCUCUUGAGAGAUGGUGAUCACCACGAGAGCCUGCUCUGUCUGUCUGGUUUGCUGCUCUGCCCAGCACAGAACCUGGCACAUAGUAGGUACCCCCAAAACACUUGCUGAGUGACUGAAGAAAGAACUUUCGGCUUCCAGUAACAGCAGGCUAGAUUAUCUGGGCCUAUCGUUGCACUGAAAACAACUAAAAAUGAUGAAUAAAUUAAAUAUAUAUAGCACUAAAGACAUGGCAGUAUAAAAGGAAAUUGACAGGCCAAAAUCGAGAGGAAAGACAUCCAGAGAGGUAAGGAAGAAUAGAAGCCACUUUUUUUGAUCUCCAAAAAUUUGAAUUUUCAGAUGAAUACCAUAUGAUCUCACCUUUAAGAGGAAGCUAAACGACAAAACAAACAAGCAAACAAAAUAAAAACAAAGACACUGAA